UACGAAGGGGGCUAGCGUUGUUCGGAUUUACUGGGCGUAAAGCGCACGUAGGCGGAUUGUUAAGUGAGGGGUGAAAUCCUGGAGCUCAACUCCAGAACUGCCUUUCAUACUGGCAAUCUAGAGUCCGGAAGAGGUAAGUGGAACUCCUAGUGUAGAGGUGGAAUUCGUAGAUAUUAGGAAGAACACCAGUGGCGAAGGCGGCUUACUGGUCCGGUACUGACGCUGAGACGCGAAAGCGUGGGAGCAAACAGG
rnacentral:rRNA from 1 species